rnacentral:rRNA from 1 species
UACGUAGGCAGCAAGCGUUGUUCGGAGUUACUGGGCGUAAAGGGUGUGUAGGCGGUUCUCUAAGUUUGGUGGGAAAUCUCCCGGCUUAACCGGGAGGGUGCGCCGAAAACUGGGGGGCUAGAGUGCGGGAUGGGUAAGUGGAAUUCCUGGUGUAGCGGUGAAAUGCGUAGAUAUCAGGAGGAACACCUGUGGUGUAGACGGCUUACUGGACCGCAACUGACGCUGAGACACGAAAGCGUGGGUAGCAAACAGG